rnacentral:rRNA from 1 species
GACGAACGCUGGCGGCGGGCUUAACACAUGCAAGUCGAACGGAAAGGCCCUGCUUUGGUGGGUUGCUCGGGUGGCAAACGGGUGAGUAACACGUGAGUAACCUGCCCUUGACUUUGGGAUAACUUCAGGAAACGGGGGCAAAUACCGGAUAGGAGCUCCUGCUGCAUGGGGGGGGUUGGAAGGUUUCGGCGGUUGGGGAUGGACUCGCGGCUUAUCAGCUUGUUGGGGGGGUAGUGGCUUACCAAGGCUUUGACGGGUAGCCGGCCUGAGAGGGUGACCGGCCACAUUGGGACUGAGAUACGGCCCAGACUCCUACGGGAGGCAGCAGUGGGGAAUAUUGCACAAUGGGCGGAAGCCUGAUGCAGCAACGCCGCGUGCGGGAUGACGGCCUUCGGGUUGUAAACCGCUUUCGCCUGUGACGAAGCGUGAGUGACGGUAAUGGGUAAAGAAGCACCGGCUAACUACGUG